rnacentral:tRNA from 1 species
GCCCAGGAAGACCUGGUCCUGGAGUGGCGGCCUGUCGAGCCGCAGAGCCCUGUAGGCGCGGAGAACCCGGGUUCGAAUCCCGGCCGGGGCG